AGGGUUUGAUUAUGGCUCAGGAUGAACGCUAGCUACAGGCUUAACACAUGCAAGUCGAGGGGCAGCAUGGUCUAGCAAUAGACUGAUGGCGACCGGCGCACGGGUGAGUAACACGUAUCCAACCUACCGGCUAUUCCGGGAUAGCCUUUCGAAAGAAAGAUUAAUACCGGAUAGUAUAGCGAGAAGGCAUCUUCUUGCUAUUAAAGAAUUUCGAUAACCGAUGGGGAUGCGUUCCAUUAGUUUGUUGGCGGGGUAACGGCCCACCAAGACAUCGAUGGAUAGGGGUUCUGAGAGGAAGGUCCCCCACAUUGGAACUGAGACACGGUCCAA
rnacentral:rRNA from 1 species